GAUUACAGUGAUAACCACAUAAAGUUCAAGCUCAACAGGCCCCCAUGUAUGGUUCUUUGAUUCUCUCCUUUUUGGGAGAUUACUUUGCGUAUCGUCCCCCGGCUCAACUAAGUGAUU